UCCCUGGCGGUCAAGUGGUUAAGACUCUGUGCUUCCACUGCAAGGGGUGCAGGUUCAAUCCCUGGUCAGGGAA
rnacentral:tRNA from 1 species